UUGACGUGCAGCUCAGUUGGUAGAGCGCCUGACUUUUAAUCAGGAGGUCGCCGGUUCGAAUCCGGUCACGUUAAU
rnacentral:tRNA from 3 species